rnacentral:tmRNA from 1 species
CAACAGCACGCUGAUGGGCUGGGCAAGGGGGCUGUAAAGCCUCCCGGCUGCAAGGUUAUUUACGUCAGCUGGUUCUUGGCCGGGUACCUUGGCACGGAAUGAGAUUCAAGGGUACUGGCGUCCGGUAUAGCGUGCGACUGCGCGAUACCGGAAGCGAGAUUCAAAUCAGACCGCUAAACAUGUAGAUCUGCCCGAAGAAGGCUUGCGGACGCGGGUUCAAUUCCCGCCAGCUCCACCA